AGAGUUUGAUCCUGGCUCAGGAUGAACGCUAGCGGCAGGCCUAAUACAUGCAAGUCGAACGGUGGUAGCAAUACCAUAGUGGCGCACGGGUGCGUAACACGUAACUAACCUACCUAUAACUGGGGGAUAGCCCGCCGAAAGGCGGAUUAAUACCGCAUAAGCUAGUUAAAUGGCAUCAUUUGAUUAGUAAAGAUUUAUUGGUUAUAGAUGGGGUUGCGGGUCAUUAGCUAGUUGGUAAGGUAACGGCUUACCAAGGCGACGAUGACUAGGGGAGCUGAGAGGCUGGUCCCCCACACGGGCACUGAGAUACGGGCCCGACUCCUACGGGAGGCAGCAGUAGGGAAUAUUGGGCAAUGGGCGAGAGCCUGACCCAGCCAUGCCGCGUGCAGGAAGAAGGCUUUCUGAGUCGUAAACUGCUUUUGACAGGGAAGAAUAAACACUACGUGUAGUGUGAUGACGGUACCUGCAGAAUAAGCACCGGCUAACUCCGUG
rnacentral:rRNA from 1 species